UUGUCCUUUCUUUUUAUUAAACUAAAUUAUAUUUCUUUGCGAUUGCCGACCGGUGAAAACCCUAGAAAACCCAUCGGCGUAGGGAUUGUCUUCGUCCGGUCAUUUCCCGCCAAAAGAAUCGACAUUCAAGAGGGAUCGGCGUGUAAUGCUGAAAUGGAGGGUAACUGAGUAUGGGGAUAAUACGGAGUAGUUUCUCUUUUCUACUGGGAACCGGCUGUGGUAUUUACAUUGCUCAAAAUUGCAAUGUCCCUGACAUAAAAAAAAAGCUUGUCAACACAUGGAUGUUUGUGGCGAAGACAAUUGAAGAAGCCUACAGGAAGCCUACUUUUAAUCUUUUGUAUAGAUGCCAUCAGAUAUGGAGAUACAUUUGAAGAGAUUCACAGCUAGAGUGAUUUUGUGGCUAUUGUAUGCCUUCUCCUGAUGUCUGGUUCAUACAUCAGCCUCCCAGUUGCGGACACCUAUAUCAGCAUGGGCUUGGCAUCUUGUGGGGAUGUAUUUAAAAUUAAACAUGAUAUAGGGGAUCAAUAUCAGGAAAGCCUUUUAUCAUUAUACAAAUGAGAAAAAUUUCUGCAUGUUUGAUCGUCCUUGUUAUGAGAGUAGUAACAGUGGAAGAGAAAUGUCCUGAACCUUAACAGGAGAAACAAAACUCUGUUGUUACUCUGAGCAUAUGGAAAUUGUAUGCCUGUUGCAAAAGAAACAUCUUUUAGGGGACCUGUAUCAAAACAAUCAUGAUACUGGGGACCAAUACAGUAAAAGACCUUUAUUAUAGACGAAUGAGAAACAACAAUUCCGUAUGUGUGUUUAUCCUCAUUAUGAGAGUAGUACUAAUAGUGGAAGAGAAAUGUCCUGAACCCAACAGGAGAAAGAAAACUCUGUUGUUACUCUUGACUUUAUAGAAUUUGCAUCCUUGUUGAAGAUUGUGAUGAGAUCUGUUCCAACUGCUAUUGUGCAAUGCAAAUUUCACUCAGUUUCCUGCAUUUCACCAGUUCGUCUCGUGUAAGGUUACACCAUUUUGAUAGAUGUGUCUGCAUGACCUCCUUUAGUCGAUCGAUCAUUAUGAUCUGCUACUAGCCAAAAAAUCCUAGACUUUCCAGAUUUCACAAUGUCCUCCUUAAAUUGUUCUGACAAUUACAUUGGAAUUCUCAUUUGUAGGUAGUUCUUCUGAUAUUUGAAUUCACUCUAGAGAUAAACUUCGCUGAGUCCAGAAGGAUUUGGAGUUGAACCCUUCCUAUAUCCCUGUCCUAUAGGGUUUAUAUGUAUAUGUGCGUGCUCGCGUGAAUAUGCAGUAGCAUUGCGGGGGUUAGAUCUACAGUUGAGCUAGGCAAAUUAACAUUCAGAUCAUCAGCAUGCAGAUACUACUGGAGGAGAGAAGGUUCAUGGAGAAGACCCCAUCAAAGCUAGCCCAGAGGUCCUCGCCGCUGUAGCUGAACUCCUCCUCCUCGUCGGUGGUGGCGAGCGUCGUUGCCGGAAUUUUCAGACCACCGGUUCC